GACGUAGGAGGCGAGCGUUGUCCGGAUUCAUUGGGCGUAAAGAGCACGCAGGCGGUUUGGCAAGUCGGAUGUGAAAACCCGAAGCUCAACUUCGGGCCUGCAUCCGAAACUGCCCGACUAGAGGUAGGUAGGGGAGAUCGGAAUUCCAGGUGUAGCGGUGAAAUGCGUAGAUAUCUGGAGGAAUACCGGUGGCGAAGGCGGCAUCCUGGACCGACACUGACGCUGAGGCGCGAAAGCUAGGGGAGCGAACGGG
rnacentral:rRNA from 1 species